rnacentral:tRNA from 1 species
GCCCUGAUAGUAUAGCCAUUACCCUGGUUUUGUAAACCAAAAACGAAGAUUAUAAUCUUCUCAAGGCA